UGGGGAAUAUUGCACAAUGGAGGGAACUCUGAUGCAGCGACGCCGCGUGAGUGAUGAAGGAAUUCGUUUCGUAAAACUCUGUUCUAUGGGAAGAAAAGGACUGUACCAUAGGAGAAAGCUCCGGCUAAAUACGUGCCAGCAGCCGCGGUAAUACGUAUGGAGCGAGCGUUGUCCGGAAUUAUUGGGCGUAAAGGGUGCGCAGGCGGCUUUACAAGUUGGAUGUGAAAUAUUGUGGCUCAAACACAAACGUGCAUCCAAAACUGCAAAGCUUGAGUGAAGGAGAAGUAAGUGGAAUUCCUGAUGGAGCGGUGGAAAGCGUAGAUAUCAGGAGAAAUACCGGUGGCAAAGGCGACUUACUGGACUUGAACUGACGCUAAGGCACGAAAGCGUGGGGAGCAAACAGG
rnacentral:rRNA from 1 species